GAGAGAAAUUGUUGAGUUUUUAGACUCUAAUGACUUUAAUAGUUGUGGUAUAGAAGGAUUAUUCUUUUUAGUCCAAAGAAACACAACCACAAGCCAUAAAUACUUCUUCAAGUCCUGCACUAUUUACUGUACCAUAAUUGUAUUAACAGCUGUUCUGCCAAGAUAUAGAAUAAAUUAACACAUUUUUUCUUAGAUAACAAAGGUCAUUUACUUGUAAACUCAAGAUAAGAGGAUUGCUAAUUGUAACAUUGGCCUCUAUACUCUUACCCUCUGGCAUUAAAUAUAAAUAAAUACGUAAAUAAAAAUAUUGAGCCCACUGAGCAAAUACAUCAAAGACAAUACUAUUAAUUUAAAAAUAGGUAAUUCCUAUUUUUUUUUUAAUGGCUACUAUUUUAUAACAUAUUAAACAAUAUAUUGUAUGUAGGAAUCCCAUAUAGUUUCAAACAUUUUUUGGACAUAUAAAAUGGCUUAUAUUAUUAGGAAUAGUUAAUACUAUCAGAAACACAUAUGUAGCAAGUGUAUAGUCUAUCCUAGGUGAAUAUCCACGACCUGCUGCACAUGACACAUUUUUUUGCUGGCAAAUAAAUCAAACGCACCCUAUGAAAAAUGGCGGGUUCUUUAAGCUGACCACACACACAGCUCUGUAUUAGGCCUGCUACUGCUGCUCUACCUCUACAACACUGCACACUCUGCUAGAUCUGCUGGUCGUUAAGUAGCAAUUAGCUCACCUGCGCCGGUCAUGUCUUCAGAAGGACUUUGUAGAGGAGUAUUCGUGUUUGUUCUGCUCUUCAUUUCGAGGUUCUUCAUCCGUCUACUGUAGCACGAAGUUGAAGCUGGAGGUGAGUUCACCUGUUCUGCUGCUGUGAAGGCGUUGCUAAGAGACGGAGAGAAGCUGAUUCAUUCAACAAGCUAGGCAGAGGUCUAUUAACCUUCCACACUAAUGGGCAAUUUUACACCGGGUGCCCAUGCCCAAGGGCCGAGGAGGGGUUGGUGGAGGAGAGCCACAUACUGCGGUGUGCGGAGCCUGUGGACACCAGUUGUUGACAAAGCAGCUGAACAUUGUCUUCAAGAGAUGCAACACUCCAUCCAUCACCUGCCACACAUUUUCAAUUUCACAUUCUCUCUGUGAUGAAUGGGUGUCUGCAGUUCCAGAGGUGGUGGGAACUGUCGAUACUGUGAUAAAAGCUUUGGGAAAACUAAACAACACCUCCAUGCCUGUGUGCACCUGAA